GGAGUACCUCCUUUACCAGGCAUGAAGCUGGGCACUGAAGAUUUAGAUUCCUGACAUAUGACCUUGCCCACAGGAAGCUUGCAGUAAAGGUGCUCAACAAAUGGAAGCCCGAGUUCUCCAUAAGUUCUUCAGAGGAUAAUUUUCAGGAUUCUGGCAACCAAAGAUGACAUGAUUCUUUAUAUGGAAAACCCAAAAAACUCCACCCCCAAACUACUAGAACUCAUACAACAAUUCAGCAACGUGGCUGGAUACAAAGUCAAUGUACAGAAAUCAGUGGCUUUCUUAUACACUAACAAUGAAAAUACAGAAAGGGAAAUUAGACAAUCGAUUCCAUUUACUAUAGCACCAAGAACCAUUAGAUACCUGGGAAUAAACCUAACCAAAGAGGUAAAGGAUCUGUACUCGAGGAACUACAGAACACUCAUGAAAGAAAUUGAAGAAGACACAAAAAGACGGAAGACCAUUCCAUGCUCUUGGAUCGGAAGAAUAAACAUUGUUAAAAUGUCUAUACUGCCUAGAGCAAUCUAUACUUUUAAUGCUAUUCUGAUCAAAAUUCCACCAGUAUUCUUCAAAGAGCUGGAGCAAAUAAUCCUAAAAUUUGUAUGGAAUCAGAAGAGACGAGACCCCUGAAUCGCUAAGGAAAUGUUGAAAAACAAAAAUAAAAUGGGGGGCAUCACGUUACCUGAUUUCAAGCUUUAUUACAAAGCUGUGAUCACCAAGACAGCAUGGUACUGGCAU